rnacentral:misc_RNA from 1 species
CGGGCAGCUCCAGUGCUUUGCUUUUGGACUUUUAAAAGGGGACAUCUUUGCUUUGUUUGUCUGUUUCCGUUCCAUUAUAUUUUCUUAUCAAUAGCAGGAGUAUAGAUUCUGCCCGCUUCCGUCCUGGAAUAUCAAACUCUACCUAGAAGGAAUCCGGCUUCUGUGUUUUGGGAUGCGGGCAGAUUUGGCCUAGCUUCUUUUUCUGUACAUAAUUUAGAAGGACUUGAUUCAGUUUUUUUUUUUCCUUGUAAAUUGGGAAAACCCAGUUUGACAAUUUGUUAGAUUGUUCUUCUGAUUUAUCAUUUCUGGUUUUAAAGCAAAGAAAAAGUUGGGAAUUUUGAUGGGUUUUCUUGUUGAUUCACACAAAGAUGGUGGAUUUGGUGUAUUGGGAGGUUGUGUUAGGAGUUUGGUAAGGAGAAAACAGGUUGAUUCUGCACAUGCCAAAGCUAAUGCUCACCAUAAGUUAGCCAAGGAGUUGUCUGUUCCUCACCUUAUUGCAAUCGGUGUUGGCUCGACAAUUGGAGCUGGAGUUUAUAUUCUGGUUGGAACGGUUGCUAGAGAGCAUUCUGGUCCAGCUCUCACGAUUUCCUUUCUUAUAGCUGGAAUCGCCGCUGCUCUUUCUGCCUUUUGCUAUGCAGAGCUCGCAAGUCGUUGUCCAUCUGCUGGCAGUGCCUAUCACUAUUCUUAUAUAUGUGUUGGAGAGGGUGUUGCAUGGUUGAUUGGCUGGGCACUGAUAUUGGAAUACACAAUUAGUGGAUCAGCAGUUGCUCGUGGCAUAUCCCCCAAUCUGGCAUUCUUUUUCGGAGGUCAGGAUAGUCUGCCUUGUUUUCUAGCUCGUCAGCACAUUCCUUGGCUGGAUAUUGUGGUUGACCCUGUUGCAGCAAUUUUAGUAUUUAUUGUGACAGGUCUCUUGUGUGUGGGAAUCAAGGAGAGUACCCUGGUACAAGGUACAGUCACCACUGUGAAUGUCUGUGUCAUGCUUUUUGUCAUAAUAGCUGGUAGUUACCUGGGCUUCAAGACUGGAUGGAGAGGAUAUGGACUUCCCACUGGGUAUUUUGCCUUCGGAGUAGAUGGGAUGCUCGCAGGGUCUGCAACUGUCUUUUUUGCUUAUAUUGGUUUUGAUUCAGUUGCUAGCACUGCUGAGGAGGUGAAGAAUCCUCAACGAGAUUUGCCUUUGGGCAUAGGCCUUGCACUGUCUAUUUGUUGUACCUUAUACAUUCUGGUUUCAGUGGUCAUUGUGGGGCUGGUACCUUAUCAUGCAAUGAAUCCUGAUACUCCUAUCUCCUCUGCAUUUGCUGAGCAUGGCAUGCAGUGGGCAGCGUACAUAAUAACAGCUGGAGCUGUCAUGGCACUCUGUUCAACAUUGAUGGGCUCAAUUCUUCCUCAGCCACGAAUUUUAAUGGCAAUGGCUAGAGAUGGAUUACUGCCAUCAUUUUUUUCAGAUGUAAAUAAAAAUACACAAGUACCUGUAAAGAGCACUUUGGCAACUGGCAUUGGUGCUGCAAUGUUGGCAUUUUUUAUGGAUGUUGAUCAGUUGGCUGGAAUGGUCAGUGUGGGCACACUUCUUGCUUUCACCAUGGUUGCUAUCUCUGUAUUAAUAUUGAGAUAUGUCCCGCCAGACAUGGUGCCAUUUCCAUCCUCACUUCAGGACACAAUUGAUUUUGUCUCAUUGCAGUACGGGGUGAACAGUCAGAAUAUUAAUGUUGAAACGUCUGAUGUUAAUGGUGGUGCUUCAAGUACUUUGCCUUUGCUAGGCAAAAAUAACACAGUAGUUGAUUAUCCUAAAAUUGUAAAACAAGAAGCUCAGCGCAAUUGUAAGUUCCUUAUAGGCUUCAUGCUUUCAAUUUUAAUUUUUCUGGAAUACUUUGAGAUGUUAGGAUAUAAACUCCUAAUCUUAUCCAAUCCACUCGCCCACCAAAGAGAAGGGGCCUUGUUUAGGACAUGCUUGAUUAUGCUUUGCAAAUGCUAGUGUGCCUGUCUCAACCUUUUUGGUUUACAUGCUUCAUUUACUUGUUAAAUACAUCUACAUAUACAUUGCAUCUAUCUGAAACAAUGUUCAAGUAAUGUUCAAGUUAUCCCAAUUUUGAAAAUCAUCAAUUGGAAAUAUUAUAUUAACUUUUUAGGUAGACAUGUUCAAUGUAGCAAUCAAUGUGUGUGUGCGUAUUUCUGCUUCAUAUGGCUUUAAACUAUAUAGAGUUGGAGUGCUUGUUGAUUGAAUUGAACCAUGGUUAUUUUUGCCUUGCUCUAAGUUUGAUUUAUAAUAGUUGUUGGGGCCUGAUAACUUAAUGCAUGCUCGCUAGUAUCCAUGUAAAAAAUUGUUCCAUUUUCUUGCCUUUCAUAAUUUAGGUUCUGCUAUUUUUUACUAUCUUCUAUUUGUUAAUUGUUUCAGAUGUUCGAAAUGAAGAGAACAGAAGAAAAAUUGCUGGCUCGACCAUAGCAUUCACAUGUAUUGGAGCAUUUCUUCUUACAUAUGCAGCUACAGAUUUGAAUAUUCCUAGGUGGGUUGAUCAAGAGUAACUCUAUUUAACUUGCAUUGAUGAUAAUUUCAAGUACAUUCCCCAAUGAUUUAGCUUGAAGACAUGUCACAUUUAAGAAGAAACUGUUUAAACUAGAUGUAGGGUUUCGCAAGAAGAGAGAGAGGGAGGCUGUUGGAAAUUUGACUGACUUUGACCAGGCAUUAAAUUUGAGAGUAAUGGCCAAAGUAAAUUGUGGUUUUCUUCAAAAUCAGUUAACUAUUUGUUUGGAUAUUCCAUUAGGCCUGUUCGCUUUACAUUGUGCGGUGUUGGUGGUGCUCUUCUUUUAUUUGGUCUGAUUGUGCUGACUCUUAUUGAACAAGAUGAUGCAAGACAUAGCUUUGGGCAUUCUGGAGGCUUUAUAUGUCCAUUUGUUCCACUGCUUCCGAUCUUCUGCAUUCUGAUCAACAUAUACCUGCUGAUUAAUCUAGGUGCCGCCACCUGGGCCCGUGUUUCAGUCUGGCUCCUAAUUGGAGUGUUCGUUUAUGCAUUCUAUGGGCGGACUCACAGCUCACUAUUAGAUGCAGUCUAUGUGCCUGCAGCUCAUGCUGAUGAGAUUUAUCGCAGCUCUGGAUAUAGUUUAGCUUAGAAUCCAGGAUUCUCACAACAGAAUCUCUUUGUUGUAUGAUGGCAUUCUCCCCAAACAUGCCCUCCCCCAUUCUUUUGGCUUUUUAUAUUAUUUUCCCCCUUUCCCUAUGUGUUGUAUGUAUUCUUACAGUGGCUCAAAUCAGUCGUGUGCAUAGCAUAUUAUAAUAGAGGGUUGACAUGGGGACAUGCUUAAGCAUUGUAAGUAGUUUGAAAGUGGAAGAAGAUAUUCUUCUUCUUUUGUUUACAUUGCCUAAUGAAUAUUCUUCUUGACACAGUGAUAAACCCCACAAUGAGGAUAGCAUAUGUUUUAAGACUAUUUAGAUGUAAUUUUCAAAAUGAUACAUUCAGGAACAUCAAUCAGUAUUGCAUAGAUGAGUUGGCCAGCAUUAUCGGUCUUGGAAGAUUCUCCAGAGCCAAUGUAAAAAUUGCACCGAGUAUAAAAAUCAAAAUGAAGGCUAAUAAUAUCUUUGCAAUGUACAAAAGACUGACACCUGAUUUAGGAAUCAUCUUCGCUGGAUGCCGGCCAUCAGAACUCUGCUGAAACAAAAAGCCAAGUGCAGAUCACUUAAGGUCAAUAAUGUUCCAAUCUCAAUUGAAUAAUCUAUAGCAAGAUAAUAAAUAAAACUCCAGGGCAAAUGCUUUUCAGAGGAAAAUCAAGGCAACAGAAUAUUGUUGCUCAAACCGGGUCUUUUGGAUAGUACAGCCACAAUAGACUAGCAUUGUGAACACUAAUUGCUAGACUGGAGCCCUGUGGCCGAGCAUGACCACGGAACUUGGGGGGCCUUAGAUUUUAGAUUUUUUUUUCUCUUUAUAUUGUUAUAAACAAUUAAAAGACAAAAACAAAUAUAGUACUUAUAUAUUAAUAAGUAACAAUAGGAUAAAAAGCUGUUCACUAAAAAUAUUAAAUAUUUUUGGAUUCU